rnacentral:lncRNA from 1 species
UUUGAGAUCUGCGAUGAGCUGGAAGUGAAGCAUCCAACCUCUGUGAAAGUAUUUUCAGGCAAAAGGGAGCAUAGCUCCUCUGGGCUGCUGGAGUGGGACUCCAAGAGUGACGCCCUGGAGACCUUGGGCUUCCUGAACCACUAUCAUAUGAAAAGCCCAAAUGGCCCAUAUCCAUACACUCUGAAGUUGUGCUUCUCCACCGCACAACACGCCUCCUAAUUAGAUGCUGGGAAGGAAGACUCCAUCCGAGCAGGAAGAUGUUUCUUUCCUUUAUGCUGUUGGUUUCUUUGUUUUGUUUUUAUUUUUGCAGUUCUUUUUUUUCCUAAUAAAUGCUAGGUCAGUAGAGGCUUAACCACAAGAAAUGCUGGAACUCUGGAGGGUGGGGGAGGGGAACUGGUAUUUCCCAAGAUUAACCUUCACUUUUUAAAAUAACUGAAGUGUGAUUCUUUUUUUCCUGUUCAUACAUUUGUGCUGCCCAUGUAUCUUGGCACAUUUCAAUAAAAUUGUUUGGAAAAUAA